AUGGCGUGGCAAUUACAGCAAACAAUGGGCACCACGAGCACACGCUUCCGGACGUCGUCGCCGGCAAUGGUCCACUGCUCGGCGGCCGUUCGACGAUCUGCCAACUACGCUCCCAGCUCCUGGGAUUACGACUCCCUCCUCCAACUCUCGCCCAACAAUGGCGGACAAGCAGAUCAAGUCGAUAAGUUGAAGGCCGGUGUGAGGGAGCGGCUGGUGGCGGCGAGCCGAGGCGGCCACCAAACUGCCAUGCUCGGGCUUGUCGACACGGUGCAACGGCUUGGCAUCGCCUACCACUUCGAGGAGGAGAUCGCUGGUAUCCUCAGGUCCGUCCACCAAAAGCCUCACCGGUGCAGCUGGGAUUAUGGUGAUGUUGCUUCCACAGCCUUGAGGUUCAGGUUGCUCAGGGACAGUGGUUUCCCUGUCUUCUUCCCUCCAGAAUCUUUGAAAAAUCUAAAGCACCGGGCAGGCGACGUCAAGGGACUCCUCUCGCUCUACGAGGCUUCAUACCUUGCGUUUGAAGGCGAGGAAUCAUUGGACAAGGCUAGAGCAUUUUCCAAUAAAGCUCUCAGAGAGCACUUGUCAUCCAUGGAUCACCACUUACGCCAAUGUGUGGUCCAUGCUUUGGACCUUCCAUUGCACCGGAGGUCUCCUAGACUAGAAGCAAGAUGGUUCAUAGAUCACUACUCUAGAGAUGAGAGCAAUUCCGACCCGUUGCUCAUUGGAUUUGCAAAGGUGGACUUCAACAAUGUGCAAAGUGUGAACCAGGAAGAACUCGCUAGAUUGGCAAGGUGGUGGAAGGGGACAGCCCUAAGUGAAAAACUGGGGUUCGCACGGGAUCGCCUCAUGGAGUGCUUCCAUUGUGCAAACGGAAUUGUUUGGGGGCCAAACGAUGGAGCAUGUCGGGAAGUGCUUGCUAAACUUGCUAAUUUAAUAGUUCUCUUAGAUGAUGUUUAUGAUGUGUAUGGAACUCUGGAUGAACUCGCCCUCUUCACCGACGCCAUUGGAAGAUGGGAAGAAAGACCCAGUGAAAUGCUCCCAGAAUACAUGCAAGUACUCUAUUCCGUCAUGUACAACACAUCCGCCGAGGUGGCUGAAAAUGUGUUUAAACAACAUGGUUGUGACGCUCGUUAUUUUCUUCAGAAAGCGUGGCGAGACAUGGCAGAGUCUUUCCUGGUGGAGGCAAAGUGGCACCAUGGAAACCAGAGACCAACACUGCAUGAGUAUCUUGACAAUGGAUCAAUUUCGUCCUCUGCUCCAUUGUUGCUGCAACAUGUGUUUCCCCUGCUCCACGUGGAAGAAAAGCUUACCCCAAUGUCUCUCGCUAAAGUUGGAAGCUACCCUAAAUUAGUUCAGUCUGCGUCCUUAGUUCUUCGCCUCUGCAACGACUCUGCAACCCACUCUGCGGAGCUGGACCGAGGGGAUGCACCAUCAUCAAUAUGUAUUCACAUGUCAGAGAACAGCUCCAAUGAGCAAGAGUCUCGCGAAGCCAUGAAAGAUCUUACCAUGGAAGCUUGGAAGUCGAUUAACGAAGAUGCAUUCAAACACUGCCAAUUUUCUAGAUCUUUUGCCAAGACUUGCGUGAAUUUGGCUCGAAUCUCACAUUGUAUUUACCAAGGUGGGGAUGGUUUCGGUGCGCCGGAUGAUCAGAAGAAAAGGCAAAUCAGAGAGUUGUACUUUGACUCUUUCAUGACUAAGAAACAUUAA
rnacentral:rRNA from 1 species